AAAGUCGUAACAAGGUUUCCGUAGGUGAACCUGCGGAAGGAUCAUUAUCGAGCCGCCGACGCGGGCCCGCGGUACUUUGGUGCCGUUGGGUCCCGUAGGCAAAUGGCCCAAUUCUUGCUUCUUGACUACCAUUGUCUCGGCGGUACCGCGCCUUUCGGGGCCAGCUGGAUUCAUUCCGGCUUGUGUCCGCCAGAGAGCCAUUAAAAUUCGUUUAUCAGUUCGUCUAAGAAUGAAAUAAUCAAUAAAACUUUCAACAACGGAUCUCUUGGUUCCG
rnacentral:misc_RNA from 1 species